rnacentral:misc_RNA from 1 species
AUUUAUUAUUAUUAUUAUUAUUAUAGCAUGAGGGUCAAUGUCCUCUCUUGUUUUUCAUCUUUAUUUAUUCAAUUACUUAAGUCGUUUCAUGAUAAUUUCUGAGGACCUGUUUGUAAAUUGCACAUCAUAUCAUAGGUCCUGCUAGUACCAGCCAUGAGUUUGCUUCGGUGCGUGGAGAGAAUGAACUUGAAUUGGAUCGCUAGGGACCAAUUUGGUCUUGAUCUAGUUCUUGGUGGUUUUAUUUCGGUUUGGUUCUAGUCGUGAUCCAAUGGUAGAAAAUUUAAAUAUACAUAUAUUUUUUAAAAUGGUUCAAGUUAGACUAUCAAACCCAGCCGUCUAUCCUGGUUUGCUGCAUAGCAUUGGGAGUAGAGAAUUGAGCUCAGUCCUUCAUAUUUUCAAUUGGGAAAUUUACGUCCUUUGGUUUUACCAUUAAUUACUAUUUGAUUUUUGUAUUUUAUGAUUGAUAGUAUGUAUAAAAGUACAAAUAAAAACAUAUUUAUAGUGACAAUUGUAUGUAUUGGUCGUUAAUAACAUAAAUUAAUAAUGAAAAUUCGAUUA